AACGUAGGACGCAAGCGUUAUCCGGAGUUACUGGGCGUAAAGCGCGGGCAGGCGGCUCGAAACGUCUGAUGUGAAAUCUCCUCGCUCAACGGGGAGAGGCCAUUGGAAACGGUCGAGCUGGAGGGCAGUAGAGGUAGGCGGAAUUCCGGGUGGAGUGGUGAAAUGCGUAGAGAUCCGGAGGAACACCAGAGGCGAAGGCGGCCUACUGGACUGGUCCUGACACUCAUGAGCGAAAGCGUGGGGAGCGAUCCGG
rnacentral:rRNA from 1 species